rnacentral:rRNA from 2 species
CCGAGUUGUAAUUUGUAGAGGAUGCUUUUGGUGAGGUGCCUUCUGAGUUCCCUGGAACGGGACGCCAGAGAGGGUGAGAGCCCCGUAUAGUCGGCCACCGAUCCUCUGUAAAGCUCCUUCGACGAGUCGAGUAGUUUGGGAAUGCUGCUCAAAAUGGGAGGUAUAUCUCUUCUAAAGCUAAAUAUAGGCCAGAGACCGAUAGCGCACAAGUAGAGUGAUCGAAAGAUGAAAAGCACUUUGAAAAGAGGGUUAAAUAGCACGUGAAAUUGUUGAAAGGGAAGCGCUUGUGACCAGACUUGUGCCGGGCUGAUCAUCCAGUGUUCUCACUGGUGCACUCGACCCGGCUCAGGCCAGCGUCGGUUUUCGCGGGGGGAUAA